rnacentral:rRNA from 1 species
GGGAAACUGGGUAUAAUACCCGAUAGGUCUCGAUUGCUGGAAUGCAUCGAGAUUUAAAGCUCCGGCGCCUAAGGAUGGGUCUGCGGCCUAUCAAGUAGUAGUGGUGUAGCGUACCUACUAGGCUACGACGGUACGGGGUGUGAGAGCAAGAAGCCGGGAAUGGAUUCUGAGACACGAAUCCAGGCCCUACGGGGUGCAGCAGGCGCGAAAACUUUACCAUGCUGGGCACAGCGAUAAAGGGACCUCGAGUGCCGGUUACAAAUCUUGCUGUCGAGAGCCUAAAAGCAUUUCUAGCAAGGCCGGGCCAGACCCGUGCCAGGCCCCCGGUAACACCGGCGGCUCGAGUGGAACCGUUAUUAUGGGUCUAAAGGGUCUGUAGCCGGCCGGAUAAGUCUCUUGAGAAAUCUGGCAGCUUAACUGUCAGGCUUUCAGGAGAUACUGUCUGGCUCGAGGCCGGGAGAGGUGAGAGGUAACUCAGGGGUAGGGGUGAAAUCUUUUAAUCCUUGAAGGACCCCCAGUGGGAAGGCGUCUCACCAGAACGGGCCCGACCGCAAGGGACGAAAGCUAGGGGCACGAACCGAUUAGAUACCCGGGUAGUUCCAGCCGUAAACGAUACUCGCUAGGUGUCGGACCCGGUGCGACCGUUGUCGGUGCCGUAGGGAAGCCGUGAAGCGAGCCACCUGGGAAGUACCGCCUGGAGGCUGAAACUUAAAGGAAUUGGCGGGGG